rnacentral:lncRNA from 1 species
CAUGUUUUAUGGUAUAGAUUGUGUCCUAUCUAUAUUUUGAGAACUGUUAUGAUUUCAAAGUUUUUACCUGACAUGUAUAUUAACCAACACCAAGAGGUUGUGUCGAAAGUCAAGGUCAAAUAGUUUGGUUUCAGUUGACAACCCCAUGUCCGAGUGUAAAGAUAUAUUUUUUUUACCACAAAUUAUUCACAGAGGGGCCCACAG